rnacentral:sRNA from 1 species
AAAUAGCCCGGAUAGUAGUGGAAAGCGUUGCAGCCCAAAGGCGUUGUUUUUCCUGACCUAAAAAAGCGACCAAAGGAAGCUCUUUUUAGGGCAAUGGAAAAAUAGCUUGUGGGCAAAACCUUGAAACGGAUAGCCGGAAUAGCU